GGGCUCGUAGCUCAGCUGGUAGAGGUGCCGAAACGAUUGUUUCUGCCCAUCAUUAGCAUCCGGCUCUUAACCGGAAGGUCGCGGGUUCGAACCCCGUCGAGCCCA
rnacentral:tRNA from 1 species